rnacentral:lncRNA from 1 species
AAAAGGUUUGUUCAUGAGCUGUCAUGCUCGCUAGGCGAAGCCCACGUGUUAUGCAAAAAAAACGAAAAAAUUGAAAAAAAAAAACGAAAAAAAAAAAUUAAAUAAAUAAACAAAAGAAAAAAUCUCAGACUUGGACCACUCUCAUUUGAGCCCACAAAGCCAUGAAAAUCAGGUUAUAAAAGAGGGAGAACAGACAGAAAAAGGAAGAGAAGCAAAACACUCUGAGGUUUCCUUGAAACAAAACCCUGGACAAAAC